CAGUAGCGCGGGAAUACCAGCACCUCGAGUGGUCAGGAGGUUUAUUGGGCCUAAAGCAUCCGUAGCCGGUUGCAUAAGUUUUCGGUUAAAUCUAUGCGCUUAACGUAUAGGCCGCCGAAAAUACUGUGCAGUUAGGGAGUGGGAGAGGUACACGGUACUCGAUAGGAAGGGGUAAAAUCCUUUGAUCUAUUGAUGACCACCUGUGGCGAAGGCGGUGUACCAGAACACGUUCGACGGUGAGGGAUGAAAGCUGGGGGAGCAAACCGGAUUAGAGACCCCUGUAGUCCCUGUCUCUUAUACA
rnacentral:rRNA from 1 species